UGCCUACUUCUCCCCAUCUCCACCCCUAUCACGCCUAGUUUAGGCUUCCACUACCUCCCACCACGGCUGCUGCUACAGCCUCCUCCCUGGCUUUGCUUUCCCUGCAGCCAAAUCUCGCCUCAUUAGUCUCAUUUUGAACAUCUGUCAACGACAUGGCCAGAUCUGUGUUCGGCAGACACACACCCAGAGAGCGACCAGCGCCUUCCACGCGGCCCCGGGAGGGCUGCUCAGUAUAGCCCACUCGGGUAAGAGCUGGAAGUGUUGGGAACUGCUAGUCCAGGAUCCCUAGUGCACCCUUCACAGCUCUUUCUGGUUCAGCUCCAGCCUCUCGCCCUGACGCCAGUCCGAUAGUCCCCAGACUGGUGCUACCCGGAAUGCCUUCAGCUCAGCCUUCACAACCCAGCCCUCACAUUGCCUUCCCAUGAAGCCUGACACCCUGAUGCUGUGACUCAAAGCCUCGCCAUCAGCCAAAGCCUAGUUAAUGGAUGGACAGAGCCGGUCUCAGCAGGGUCCUCCUGCAGCUUCCUGAGCAGGGACUCCAGGUGAGAGACCUUCUCGGACAGGCUCCUGGGUUCUGGCCUGAGGACAUGGGGGUCAAGACUCAGCUGGACUGAGGCAGAGCACUCACCCUCAGUGGCCUCACCCUCCCGGGACAGCGACUCCAGGAUGGUGUUGCAAGUGGAGG